rfam:Denitrovibrio acetiphilus DSM 12809, complete genome.
GGGGGCGCACGGUUUCGACGGGGGAUCGUAGGUCUCUAGGUGCAUGUCCGGGGCGGCUACCCGGUUAGCAAGCCAACGCAAGUAAUUGCAAACAACGAACACACACUCGCUGCUGCUUAAUUAGUGGCGAUGUCCUCUGCGAAGGCACUCCCGCGGUCUUGUAGAGGGCACAAACUUUAGUGGGAUAGUCUGGUGUGAUGCCUCGGGCAUCAGGCAAAACUAAGAGGAUGCUCUUUUCGAUUGGGUCGUCUUUGCCCCUGCCGUAAAGCUAAGAUUAAUGCAAAGACUAAACAUGUAGUACCUUUGACUGAACAUACUUCGGACGUGGGUUCGAUUCCCACCGCCUCCAUUU